UCAGACUUUAUGGCAGCAGGCAACCUAUAUUGAGGGAUGAUUUCAUUGCAUAAAAACUUAACUACUGUGUUGGUGGUUUCGUUUUCGGUAGCAAAUGCCUUAGUCUAUCUGGAGAAGGUGUCUACUCGUACUAGAAGUUCCUCCCACUGAAGAAUCGGAGUAUAUUUCUCCAGCCGCUAAUGUUGGAUUUAGUCAUGUGUCUAGCUUUGGCCACUGGAAUAUUAAUCUGCAUGACCAAAAACUUGGAAAGUGUGCAUUCAUUUGUGCUCGCUCACUCCUGCUAUCACCAUGAGAACAAGCCGAGGCCAGAAUGCUGCUUCCAGAAGAAGACAAGAGACAUCAAGUGCAAAGUCAAGCUUCCCAGACAUGCUCAUGCCAGAUUAACCAAUCCUCAGCUGACCCAUAGAUCCAUGAAAAUAAACAAUUGUUGUAUUAAGCCACUGAGAUUUGGAGUGACAUGUUAUGCAGCAUUGUGUGACAACAACUAAUGGAUACAAGGGUCACCAUCCUUUAUCUCUGUAGAUUUUAACCAAUUUUUAAUAGCUAGAUGGAGAUCUUCUAGUUGCCCUUAUUUAUAAUGAAUAUGACUGUAGAGCUAAUUUGGCCUGACACUACCAGUAACCUACCCAGAAAUUCAGAAAUACUUUCUUCUCCAACCCGCCCCAACCAACCUUUUUUUUUGUUUGUUUUUGGGUUAUCCUUCUUUGCCUAGGCUAGAGUACAAGUGGUACAGUCAGAGCUCACUGUAACCUCAAAAUCCUGGGCUCAAGUGAUCUUCCCCUUCAGCCUCCUGAGUAGCUAAGACUACAGACAUGUGCCACCAUGCCUGGCUAAUUUUUUUAUUCUUUGCAGAGACAGGGUCUCAGUAUAUUGCACAAGUUGGUUUCAAACUCCUGGCUUCAAGCAGUCCUCCUGCCUCAUCCACCCAAGGUGCUAGGAUUAUAGGCAUGAGCCACCAUGCCCAGCCUCUUCUUCUUUUUAAAUAGAAACACUAUUUUAUUCUGACAGUGGGUUGCUUUCUUUUUUUUUUUUUAAGAAAAAGUUGACCCAGCCCCAGGGAAUAAAUUCUGACUGUUCUAAACAGGGUUGGCAAACUAUAGACCAGGGGCCAAAUCUGGCCCUCUGACUGUUUGUAUAAAUUAAGUUUUACUGGAAUAAACCCAGGUCCACUCAUUUAUGCAUUGUCUACAUAUGCUUUUAGGCUACGAUGGCACCACUGCGUCACUGCAACAGAAGUUAUCUAGACCAAAAGCCUAAAAUAUUACCGUUUGCCUCUUUAUGGAAAAAGUUUGCCAUUCCCUAGUCUAAGGUUUAGAGUCUGAGCUUAUCAUUUUAGCCUAAUCCCCCUUACCAGUGACUGGCUCAAAACAAGUCUGUGAUUCCAUUCUGACUGUUCUACUGAGGGAAUUCCCCCUUCUUCUCAUGCAGAGCUGAUGAGGGUAAGUUGUAUUAAUAGGACAUAUGCUCAGGUUUUCUGAAAAAUACUUUUAUCUAGAAAUGCAUAGGAAUAUGCUGGUGCCUGAAUGUACCAUCUGGGGGCCUGGAGAUUGACUCACACUGCCUCCAGAGCUAGUGCUCACACUUACUACUGAGAGGCCUGAGGAAACGCCUGCCUACCCACCACCAGAACCUGCACACAUCACCUGGAGAACUAGAGAUCAGACUGCCACACACACCACCCAGGAGCCCAGUGGCACACCUGCCCACCUGGCCCAGUGUUGCCACUGCCAGCAACCAAAGAAGCCACCUGGGGACCCAAGGAUUGGCACAUGCAGACAGGCUAUCAUCAGUGCCCAUAUACACUGCCCAUGGUCCCUAGUAUUGACCAACCUGGUCCACCACCACUACCACUGAUGCUGAAGGACAAGACUUCCUGGCAUCCCUAUCCUCAGCAAAGCCUCACCACAUCCUCCAAUAACAACUGUGGUCUGUCCAGGCAUGGUGGCUCACCCCUGUAAUCCCAGCACUUUGAGAGGCCAAGGUGGGUAGAUCAUGAGGUCAGGAGUUCGAGACCAGCCUGGCCAACAUGGUGAAAACCCCGUCUCUACUAAAAAUACAAAAAUUAGCUGGGCAUGGUUACACGUGCCUGUAGUCCCAGCUACUCAGGAGGCUGAGGCAGGAUAAUCACUUGAACCCAGGAGGCAGAGGUUGCAGUGAGCUGAGAUUGUGUCACUGAACUCCAGCCUGGUGACAGAGCUAGACUCCAUCUCAUCAACCACACACACACACACACAAAAACCAAAAAAAAAAAAAAAAAAACUGCAGUCUAAGCCACUGAAUGACUCAGAGACACCACUCAGGCCAAUUACAGCUGAAGAAAUCAUAUGCAGACUAUACCACUGUACCCACCCAGAAUCAAAGCCAAAGUGUGGUAUCCAAUGAACAUUGUAGAUACAGCUAUAAGAAAAGGUCUUUCCCAUAUAAAAGCCAAUCCAUAAAAUUGGAAGAAGUGACUGUUAUGUCAGAGGCACAGAUAGUCACAUAAGGAUGCAAGAAAUAUGAAAAAGGAAACAUAACAUCUCCAAAGAAGCACAAUAAUUCUCCAGCAACAGAUUCCAAUGAAAAGAAAAUCUAUGAAAUGCCUGAAAAAAAUUAAGAAUAAUGUUAUUAAAGAAACUCAGGGAGAUACAAGAGAACACAGAUAACGAAUACAAAAAAAUCAGGAAAACAAUUCAUGAUCUGAAUGAGAAAUUCAACAGAGAUAGACAGCAUAACAAAGAACCAAACACAAAUCCUGGAAGAGAAUAAAUCAUUGAAAGAAAUACAAAAGAUAAUUGAAAGCUUUAACAACAG
rnacentral:lncRNA from 1 species